rnacentral:rRNA from 1 species
GACGAACGCUGGCGGCGUGCCUAAUACAUGCAAGUAGAACGCAGUUGCGAACGGGUGAGUAACGCGUAGGUAACUUCCUCAUAGCGGGGGAUCAAUAUUUGAAACGAUAGCUAAUACCGCAUACAGGGACAUGGACCUGCGUUGUAUUGGCUAGUUGGUGAGGUAAAGGCUCACCAAGGCGACGAUACAUAGCCGACCUGGGAGGGUGAUCGGUCCCACUUGGACUGAGAACCGGCCCAGACUCCUACGGGGGGCAGGAGUAGGGAAUCUUCGGAAAUGGACGGAAGUCUGACCGAGCAACGCCGCGUGAGUGAAGAAGGUUUUCGGAUCGUAAAGCUCCGUUGUUAGAGAAGCGGUAACUACCCAGAAAGGGCCGGCUAACUACGUGCCAGCAGCCGCGGUAAUUC